GGCCUUUAUUUUUCCUCAUUUUUGGGCAAUUUGAGGCUUUCUUUUUUUGCUUUUUUCAGGCAUUUUUGGGGCUUUUUUUCUGAUUUUUUAGGUAUUUUUUGGGCAUUUUUGGGGCUUUUUUUCUGAUUUUUUGGGUAUUUUUUGGGGCAUUUUUUGGGCUUUUUUCGGGGCAGUUUUGGUCAAUUUUUAGUCUUUUUUUUUUCUUUUAUUUCCGAGCAGUUUUGGGGCAUUUUUUAGGAAUUUUGGGGCGAUUUUUGUGCUUUUUGAUUUAUUUUUUGCCUUUUUUUAAACAAUUUUUGCAUUUUGUGCAAAUUUUUGGCCACUUUUAUUUUUCUUCUUUUUAAU